UAGGCACUGGGGGGGCUGUUGGGUUAACCCAGCAGUUCCGCGGACACAGGGUUUUCCAAGAGGGAAUUAUUUAAGAUUGAAUGAGAUGGAAGACCAUUCGGGGCCCAGCCCAGAGCAAAUCCUCAGACUUUUGGUUGAAGGGACAGAAGCACAAACCUGAAUGCAGUGAGUUACUCUAUAAUGUAUUUGUUACUGAAAGCAUUACCUACCAACAUAGACAAUCACUGUCCUACACUAAAACAACACAAUGUAACAUCAACUGGAGGAUCUAUUAGAUGGGAGGUGAAAAAUGUCUUUUCCAACACUAAAUAGAAGGAUUUUAAAAGGGAGAGAUUAGUGUAUAUUAAAACAAACAAGAGAGUGUCACAGAGAAGGUGGGAUUUGAGUUGGGCAAGUAGCUAAAAAGAGAACUUUCCAGGCAAGGCAUGAACAGGAACAGAAAAGUGGAAAUGAGCAUGGUGUGCGUAGACCAAGUGGAGGGUGCAGGCUGGAGCACAGGUGAAAAUAAGAGUGUAUAAAGAGCGAGAUAGACAAGCAAGAAAAAUGUCACUAAAUGCAGCGGGUUCUAGGAAACCAUCAAGGACUCACCGGGUGGGGAGGUCCAUGAUGCAGAGUUUGUCUGGCAAUAACACAGGAGAUAGGUUAGAGGGAAGAGGGAUAUCAGGGAGACAAGAAAAGACAGUGAAGGCAUGAACAGUGAUGACAUCAGGAGAGUGUUCAGGAAGGACUGAUAGUAGUAGCCAAGUGGAAAAUGCCUUUAAAGAAAACUUCAGCGGACUUUAGCUGAAAGGGUGACUUUAUAUUGGUGUCUUUAUCUCUCAAAUAACUUCACUGUCUUAGAUAAAGGAUGGAUGUUGAGAGGUGACUGGGAAGAUAAGAUGAAAAGCAUGUGCUCUGGGAACAGUGACUCCACUAACAAUUUUUUUUCAUGGACAUCUGAAACUCACUCUGUAACAUUCAACAGUCAAAACAACUGUAUCUGGAUCAAAGGAAAUACUUGAAAUUACUUCAUAUGAUUUGAAACUUGUGCUGAUAACCUUGGGUCUCAUCUCAAUAGCAGAAAAGGUUAAAGCAAAACACAUACAUAGUAUGGGGAAAUUUUCUUCAUUUUUAAUUUACAGCAGAAAGAAUAUAAAGCAUUCAGAAAACAUUUUCCAUAUUUUAAGGGCAAUUCAAAACAUUUUGCAUGGUUUCCAGCAGCUGAGUUCUUCAACAGAUCCAUUGAUUCAAUGAUGCUUUACAUGCACAAUUACAAAAAUAAAACUUACAAAAAAGAAGACAUCUAGACUAGUUUUACAUGCAAGUCUCAGGGACCCCCCAUUGGGCGCCAACUACUGUGUGGAACUGCCGUAAGCGACCGUGCAGCCAGAAAGGGGUUUGUGUUAUUGUCUUUAUUUCGUUCACACAGUACAGCUGAUUUCAAAUGGGUAACAAGAAUAGCAAUUAAAUCUUCAGGAGACAGAAUAAGAUUAGCUAUUAAUUUUAUAAUGAAAUCCUACUCCUGGCACUUGGGAAUUCAGAUUAUCCAAGAAAGCUGCGCUUUGCCUAUCAUCUUAUAUUCAAAAGUAAGAUUUGUAACCAAUAAAAAGCGAUCAGAAUUGCCUCAUUUCAGUGGAAGUGCAUUUUUACCUCACCUAGGACUCACAGUUGUACUGGUGGGUUUUGAACCUACCUCCUUUCCCCUGUGUUAAGAACCCUCCUAAUUCCAUUCGCAAGUCUCUAUCUUCCGGACUCUUCUAACUUAUUGAGCGAAUAAUGUAGCAUGUGAAAUACUUAAAAAAAAUAAUUAAUGUGAGGGUUAAAGCAAAUCCACUGAGGUCAUUACUCUUGUCAAAAGGUCAGUUAUUUUUUACCAUAAUGGAAUAAACAUAUCUAAAAUUCAGUGUUAAUAUAGGAUAUUCUUAAAGAGCUGGCUUUCAUAGUCUACUCCCAUUUGUGAAUGCCAUGUGUUUGAAAAUCACUCGUGUUCCUCCUAUAGAUCAAACUGUGUAAAAUAACAGAUAUUUGGGGAUUGCAACAUCUGCAACAUAACCCACACAUUUAAAAACAAAAUCGAGUCUGGUCAGUUUACAAAUGUACAGGUGACUGCUAGUUGUGGGGCUGUUACUUGUCAAAGCUGGUCACAAGCAGUAAGACAUAUACUGUACAGUAAUCCAAGGUUGGCAGUGAAAGGAAGGAAUUAAAAAACAAGUACAAUUAUAGAAAAGGCACCAAGAGCACUGACCCCAGUUUUUAGCACAAUCUUUGUGUAUCUACCUUCCUUGUAAAGACACCAGUUUAAAAGCUUAUUUGUGAAUAUUUUUAGGCUUCACAACAAGCCUUGAGUUUUGACUUACAGUUGGUAGCCAGAACCAAACAAAACUGCUAUCAUCUCAACUUUACACCAACUGAUCCUCAAACUUAACCUGGGAAUUUUAAACUGGCAUCAGCAAAUGCAACUUUAUUCUCUCAGUUAGUUUAAUUUUUAAAAGCAUCAGAUUUCUUUGGCUCCUCAUUAUAUAGAAAUAUUAAUAUACCAUGACAUCUCUACAAGACCAGUUUGCGUCAUUUUAAUUUUUAGUUUUUGUGCAAUUUUCAUUACAUUUUCUGAUUUCCAGCAGGAGAUUUGAAAACGUGAGACUUUUUUUUUCUACUUUUCAUUCUAUUUCUUUUGUCAGGUUUUGAUCAUUCAGAGUGUUCUUUGUUGGAGUGAGUGGAUGGUGUUAAGCUACAUACUGAUUCAUCUUAUGAUUAUCUGUUUUGCAAAAGUAACGUAAUUCUCUUAAGCAAGAUUAGCAUUCACAUUACUUGGCACCAUUGGCAAAAUAAUUUUUAAAGUAAAAUA